GGAAAUCUGAAAUCCUAAAGUCAAAGGACAAGGUCUAAUUUUGGCUUUGUGUUGUCCUGUCAGCCUCUCUUGUCUGAAAUCCACAAUGCAGUUGCCCUAUUCAGUUUGGACUUUGGCUAAUAAUACUCAUAGUCUGCCCCUAAGAGAAAGACAAGAGAAUAUGGACUUAUUUGGGAAGAUGGAUGACAUAUUAUACAAUUUUAUGAAUUCCUCAAAAAGGUUAAACAUCCACUAUGUGCCAUGGACUAUGUUAAGUGGGUCCAUUAAAGCAGAGACAAUAUGUCCCCAGUAAGGAGCACAGUACUUGACACAUGGUGCACUGAAGUGCCCUACAAUCCUCUCUGCCCAGAGAGAAGAAUGAAGCAUGAAGCCAAGAGAAAGAAAAGGACCUCCCUGCCUCCUCACAUACAACACAGAUACGUACACGUACAGAUGAGCAUACGGAAACACAGAUCCCUGCAUCAUGACAUAUAUGCAGGCGUCCGUUCUCAAAGAAGACACACUCACAUCGGAGGAGCGUUGCUGAAGUUCCCAUGGGCUUUCCCGUUCCUGGUCCUACUCUCAAGAGAGAACUUCUGAUUUCCAAGAUGGGCAUGGAAUGUGAAUCUGGAGCCAUUUGUUUUCUUGGAUGAAGGCCAGACAAAGGUGCAUCACAAUCCCAUAGCAAAGGAUGCCUCCAGUCAUGUUCUCUGACUUUUCUCCAUGAUGAAAACCACUUUCUCUGACUACCCCACAACAGAGGAGUAAUUUGGAGAUACUCAUGUAAUCAUCACAUGAUCUUAUAAGUAAGAUGUUGUUAUUCCUGUCUUCCAUGAGAGGAAACGGAGGUGAAGGGAAAGAACUGACCUUCCCAAGGCCACACAGUUGGUAGUGAGAAAGCUGUGUUGAAUGUGAGCAGUCCUUGUCCAGAGCCCAGACACUUCAAGCCACUACAUCACGCCCUUCUUGUCAGCUAAAGGGAGAUCCUAAUCAUUACAAUGCAUUGCAGUGGACCAUGACGGUGCAUAAGAUACUAUGACGCUUGCUUCCAUUUUUUCAUGAUCUAGAGUUUGAGAAAGGUGCAUUGUGGCUUUCCUCACACUGUACGUCUGCUUAUAAAUUUUCACUGACUUUAUGUCACACUGCAGUAUGAAUCAUUUGAAACCAACCAGCUUAGUCUAUAUUUGUCAGUGUAAGUGUCAAGCACUCUAUAUUCUGAGCUUUUAUUUCAACACUCGAAUGCUUUAUCUAAUGUUAUUUUUCAUGGACAUACCAGUAUAAUCAGUCAUGUUUGUUUAUUUAUUUAUUUAUUUAUUUAUUUAUUUAUUUAAAUAUAUGA